rnacentral:rRNA from 1 species
GACGAACGCUGGCGGCGUGCUUAACACAUGCAAGUCGAACGGAAAGGCCCUGCUUUUGUGGGGUUCUCGAGUGGCGAACGUGUGUGUAACACGUGUGUAAUCUGCCCUUGACUUUGGUAUAACUUCAGGAAACUGGGUCUAAUACCGUAUAGGAGCUCCUUCUGCAUGGUGGGGGUUGGAUUUUUUCGUCGGUUGGGGAUGGACUCGCGGCUUAUCAGCUUGUUGGUGGGGUAGUGGCUUACCAAGGCUUUGACGGGUAGCCGGCCUGAGAGGGUGACCGGCCACAUUGGGACUGAGAUACGGCCCAGACUCCUACGGGAGGCAGCAGUGGGGAAUAUUGCACAAUGGGCGGAAGCCUGAUGCAGCAACGCCGCGUGCGGGAUGACGGCCUUCGGGUUGUAAACCGCUUUCGCCUGUGACGAAGCGUGAGUGACGGUAAUGGGUAAAGAAGCACCGGCUAACUACGUG